rnacentral:tRNA from 1 species
UCCCGGGUGGUGUAAUCGGCAACACCCAUGGUUUUGGUCCAUGUGUUAGGGGUUCGAGUCCUCUCCCGGGAG